AAACCAGCACCUCAAGUGGUCAGGAGGAUUAUUGGGCCUAAAGCAUCCGUAGCCUGUUCUGUAAGUUUCCGGUUAAAUCCAUUAGCUCAACUAGUGGGCUGCCGAAAAUACUGUAGAACUAGGGAGUGGGAGAGGUAGACGGUAUUCGGUAGGAAGGGGUAAAAUCCUUUGAUCUAUUGAGGACCACCUGUGGCGAAGGCGGUCUACCAGAACACGUUCGACGGUGAGGGAUGAAAGCUGGGGGAGCAAACCGGAUUAGAAACCCGAGUAGUCC
rnacentral:rRNA from 1 species